GUGAUCCCCCCGACCACAGCACUGCACAUCAAAGACCACAAUGCCAUCAGAUGCCAAAAAGAAGCGUGAGCAAAAGAAGAAGGAAGCAGCAAAAGCUAAACAAGCUGGCAAGAAGAUAGAAACAAAGGAUGAAAAGGAGCCUCAAGAAAAUGGGAAUUCAAACAAUUCCAAGAAGAAUUCCCGUGAAACAACACCAUUGAUGAAUGGCACCACAAAUGGUACAGAGAAGCUUAGUGCUGAAGGU